rnacentral:rRNA from 1 species
GGCGUCCCUUCACAUGCAAGUCGAGCGAGGAGGCCCCCAAGGGUCAUUCGACGGCGACGGGUAGUAACGCGUGGAUACCUACCCAGAGGUGGGGGAUAACCCGGGUAAACGCGGGCUUAAACCGCAUUAUUCCUAAGAUCAAAGGGGGCUCGCAAGGGCUCUCGCCAUUGGAGGGGUCCGCGUCCGAUUAGCUAGUUGGUUAAAAAAAACUCACCAAGUCAACAGAUCGGNACCCGCCCCUGAGAGGGUGAUCGACCACACUGGAACUGAGACACGGUCCAGACUCCUACGGGAGGCAGCAGUGGGGAAUUUUGCGCAAUGGGCUAACGCCUGACGCAGCAACGCCGCGUGGAGGAUGAACGGUCUUUGGAUUGUAAACUCCUGUCAGCAGGGAAAAAGCAAAUUGGCCUAACACGCCAGUGAGUUGAUU